rnacentral:lncRNA from 1 species
CGAGUAUUGAAACUGAAUCUGUGUUCUUCCUGGUGGUGUUCUCAGCACUCAGUACAGUGCCUGGCAAAUAGCAGGUGAUAAAUAAAUAUUGAUUAAUAUAAAAUUCAUCCUAGCAGUAAGUUUGUUGUCAGUAUGGGAAAUCAGUGUCCGGAUAGAAAUUUAGAAUUCAUACAAGAAGUUUAGACAUUUCAUUACCAUCAUUAGUACUACAGAGUCUGUAUAUUUUAAAUUAUAAGCAUAUCCAUAUAAAAAAUAGCUUGCCAGGGCAUUUACUUAAGAAGAAAAGGUGUAUAAUUUUUGCUAUGCAUUUUAAGGUAUUGCAUGUUUCAGUUUUUCUUGAGUUUGAUUAAUAUAUAUGUAAUAUUUUUUACACAUUGAAGUUUUAUGGCACUAUAAAGAAGUGAGUUUAAUGGUCCUCUUUUUGUUCAUUAGUAAUUGUAUACUAAAGAGUAAAUUCUCAUUAAAAGGCCCUUAAAUGCCUGCUCAUAAAAAGGGAGACCUCUUUGAUUUUGUUCUCCGUACAGUCGUGGUUAUUGUUUUGAGGCAGGUCACCAAACUCUUUAGUAGUGUAAACCUUUAAGUUGGUUUCAGAACAGUAGUCAGUCAUGUAUUGAAUACCCAAAUUACCAUGUCUUCAGACAGUAAUGCAAACACUCUCUAUUAAAAAGGUAAUGACCAUAACUUUUUUUGUAGAAUUUCUCGUGCUAAUUUUUUAAAGAGGACUUUUGAACUAAAUUUCCUGUGAAGGCCAACAUCUCAUACUUUCAAUGAUAGUGGAGUAUAUGUGUAUGUGUAGAGAGACGGGGGGGGGGGGGGGGGAGAUGGUAUUUUUGGUAGUGGUAUUUUUAAGUGGACAGUUUACUAAUUAUGGUGAGGUAACAUUUUACAACUCUGAAAGGAAAACUUCAAUUAUCUGAAUGAAAUUAGGUACAUGAAAUUAAUUCAGAUAAAUGGGGGAAUCCUUAGUGUAAAUGAUGCAUGUCAAGAGACAUGACCUCAAUCUUGUUUUUUUGUUUUUUGUUUUUUUUUUCUAUAUAUGUCAGCUGCUUUUACAUUACUAGAUUGUGAUUUUUUUUGGUGAUGGGAGGAGGUAAAGUUUGCUGUGUAGUUUUUUGUUUUUUUCCUUUGCCACAAAGGGAAUCCAGAAUGUGGUAUUCUAUGAGAAGUGUAAUUGCUCAUCUCUCGCCUGUGCUGCCCUGCCCUUUUAGGUGGUAUACCAUAGCCUUCCAUUUUGUCACCUUCCUGUCAAAUGUCAAAUGUGUUUGUGGAAUACACAUACAGUUUGUUUGAGAAUACAGUUUGUUUGAAAUUAAAGCCACACCCCUCUAUCCAAUCACAAGAUGUUUAUCCUUCCCAAAAGCUGAGUUACAAGAAGUUAAGAUGAAUUGAGCUGGGUAAACCUUAAUUCCUUCCCUGUCCCCCGUAAGGUUUAAUAUGAAGCAGUAUCUUAUGAUGUAGGACCUUAAAAUAGAAACAAACACUGGGGCAUAACCCCUGGCUUUUAUGGAUCCUUAUUUGAAAUGAAAAUUUUGCUGAUUGAUUAGAGUUUAGGAAUGCUUUAGGAAACUGAUUUCUGCUGUUGUUUAUUAAGUGUGCAGCACUCUUGGGCUCCUGGCAUCUGAAAGCUAUUGUGUAAAGAGUGGACAGCCUCUGUAGCUGUGAUGACAUUUUUCUCUAGGCAUUCUUUUGUUUUGGUUUUGAACAGAGAUAGGGUUAUCUCAGCUAUGGAGAUGUGUGUAGAAAUUUUACUUCUCUUUUCAGCAUUACCUGUUGACAUUUUACCUAAAGCACCUGUGGACAUUUUUUAUUUUCAUUCUUUAUUUUCAGCAUGUAGCUGCUUCCUUUUUGCCUCUAGGUCUUUGAGAUACAAGAUGAUUCAUAUCUUGAUUACCUUGGGUAAAGUGGAUAUGAUAUCAGCAAGUUCUGUAUCCAGACCUUGUGAACAAUUCCUAGGUCAUUGCCUGAGACCUUCUUAAAUAUAUGCAGGCAGUGUGAUUGAAGAGCUUAGGCUUCAGGGUCAGUCGAAACUGAUUUUGACCCUGUACCAUUUAUGAACAGCAUAUCUUUGGGGAAAGUUAGCUACUUUUCUGGGUUUCAGUUUCCUCAGAAUAAUCUUACCUGUAUUGAUUUAUUGUCAUAUACAGAUAAGUGUUUAAUGGUAUGAGUUAGUUCAUCAUCUACCUAGAUCAUUUUAAAAGGAAGUAGGUUUUGUUCUAUUUGAAGACAGAGAUAAUCAAAUUAGUAAAAAUCUUUUCAAAUAGAGGUCUUGCUCAUUUGAAUUUAAAACUAUGUAAGAUUCUUGCAACAGUCGAUCUAUUUAUAUACUCAGGGUACACUGAUAUGUGACAUAGAGAGGUAGAAUAUGUAGCAUACUUUUGAAUUAAGACAGACUUAGAUUUGUCUAUAGGUGAUCUAGCACUUGGGUAACCUUUGGGAAGGGAACUUUACUUUCUUGACUCAGUUUUCAUCUGUAAAAUGGGUAAUAAAAGUGUAAAGAAUAAUAAAGGGUGAAAAAGGAUAAUAUGUUGUUGUAAAGACUUCAGAGAGGAAGUAUGCAAAAUACUUAGUAAUGCCUGAAUCCAUAAAUACUGAUAGUUGUUAUUGUGACCUCAGACAAAUGACUUCCCCUCUCUCUACUUCAGGUUUCCUCAUCUGUAGCAUGAGUAUAUCAGAGAACUAGUAGAAUUAUUAUGAGGAUUUAAUGAGAUAAUACAUGUAAGCGCUCAUUUCAUGUUAAUUGGUGUUACAUUGUUUGGUUUCCAAAUGAGUAGGACCAAUUUUGAAUUAAAAUGAAAGAAUUUGUACAGAUAUUUAAUAUAAUUCUUAUGUUGCGGGACAUUUAUUAUCAAUUUGGGGAUGGCAACUUAUCAUUUAUAGCUUUCAUUGUUUCCUUAAGACAACAGUUCUCACACUGUGAUAUGUAGACCCAUGGGGGUUGCCGAGAGCCUUUUAGGGGGUCUGUGAGGUUAAAACUUUUUUCAUAGUAAUACUGACUUCUUGCUGUUCCCAUUGCUUUGACAUUUGCCUCACUGAUACUAAAACAAUGGUGGGUAAAACUGUGGGCAUCUUAGUAGAUAUUAAAUGGCAGUGGCAUCAAACUGUACUAGUAAUCAUUGUAUUCUUUAUUACCAUGCUUUCCCAGUAAAAAAACAAAACAGAAAAGCCAGUUUCACUGAAUAAUGUCCUUGAUGAAGCAGCAAAAAAAAUUUUUUUAUUAAAUCUUCAUCCCUGAGUACACUUUGUUUUAAUACUCUUUUUGUGAUGAGAUAGGAAAUACGCAAAAAACAUUGCUGCUGCGUAUGCAGAGUACAUUGGUUGGCUCAAGGAAAAACCCUUCUAUGAUUUUUUUGAGUUUCAAGCUGAAUUAGUCGUAUUUUUCAUGAAACAUCACUUUUACUUGUAAUAAUGACUACCAAACUAUGAUUAUUUAGAUUUAGAUAUUUGGCAAUCAUUUUCUUGAAAAUGAACAAAGUAAGCCUGUCACUUGGGGGAAAACAACUGGUAAUACUUGUUGCCAAUGAUAAAAUUUGAGCUUUCAAGUGAAAAUUAAAAUUUUGGAGAACUUGUAUCACCUGCUGUGCCCUUGUCAGCUUCCCAGUACUUAAAGACUUUUCUGAUGAGAUGGGUAAUGAUAUUAAUGAAUCUGCGUUUUUGCUGUGGUAUUAAUUAGUUAAUUAUGUCAAGAUUUGGAAUAUAAACAAAUGCAAGGAGCUGAUAUUUUCAAAGUGAUCAGCGUUACAAAAUUAUUGGUAAAAAACCCUUAUAAAAAGCAAGUAACAGGGAUGUCUGGGUGGCUCAGUUAAGUGUCAGACUCUUGAUCUCUACUCAGGUCAUGAUGUUACUAUUGGUGAGUUUCAUCCCUGCAUCGGGCUCUGUUGACAGGUGUAGUCUGCUUGGGAUUGUCUGUCUCCGUUUCUCUCUGCCUCUCUCUCUCUCUCUCUUUCUCUCUCAAAAAUAAAUAAAACAUUAAAAAAUAAAAGCAAGUGACAGAAUACAAAGAGUUUAUGUGAUAAUAGGAUCCAUGUUAUAGAUAACCUUCAAACUCCAGCUUGUCAAGUUUUGGUGUAGUAUCAAAGAACAACAUUCAUAAUUAUUUGAAAAGGCAAUUCAUAUUAACGUUAAUUCCUUUUUUAUUGAAAUCAAAACAACAUAUCACAACAGAUUGAACAUAGAAGAAGAUAGGAGAAUUCAUCUUCUAUUAAAUUGGAAAGAAAUUUCCUAUUUUUUUUUAAAGGAAAGUAAUUUUUCAUAAAGUAUGCUGUCAUAUUACAUAUGCCAUUGAAAUUUUAAAAUGAAUUAAUACUUAAACUUUUCUCAUUUAAUUUCUAAUAUAGUAAAUAUUGACAAUUCUAACUCACAUUAACAAAAAGUCGAGAAUUCUCAAUUUUUGAGAACACAGAGGAGUUCUGAUACUAAAAAGUUUGAACUGUUCCCUAAAGGGAAGGAGACUAGAUUCAUCAAAAGAUUAAAGUUCUGAAGUUUUACUCUUUUGAGUGUUCCUUUGGAAUAUGGACUAUAUGCCUCUACUUUAUUUUUCUGGAUUUGAGGGUAUGUUGCUGGACUUCUGGGUCAUUCCCCAAGUGGGCAGAGGGUUCCUGUAUGUGUUAUUGAAGAAGAUUUUCCUUUUAUUUAAGGUUGGUGCUACCUAUAUGCUAUUCAGAAUUGAGAUAAGGUUAAUGGUCAUUUCAGUCAGCCUAUUCAUUUUUGAUAUAAACUGUUUUGUUUGUGUUAGAGCUAUUCAUGCAGGUUUCAGAAUUGUUCAGCAUGGCAGUCUAUUUCAAAGUUGUAGUGAAAUUCACUGCUAAAAAUAAACUGCCAUUUUCUCUGAAGUCUUUACAUGAGGCUAAUCUGUUCUGUUAUAAAGUCUUCCUGACAUUUCAUAGCUGUUUUCUAGUAUAGUCAGUCUACAACUUACUUGUGAUUAUUUGCAGCAAUAUAAUAUAAAUUACAGAUGGGUUCUAUGCCAUUAAUAGUAUGGGCAUAGCUUCAUUGUGGACUAUUGGCAUGUUUCUUUGGGGAAUUAUAUUCUCACUGGUAGAAGUCUAGCCAAAUACAUUUCUCCAUUUUAGUCGGUCAGUGGCAGGAACCCCCCGCCCACUUUUCCCUUACGGUAGAAAUGGGAUUGUUAAAGCUUUGGUAGAAGGAAGAGAGACAUUCUGAGGCAGUGCUCAAGAAACACAGAUACUUUGAGCUCCCCAAGUGAGUAAAGGGUAAUUGUUAACACCUCAGGUGAAGCAGGUGUAGAAACUUUGGGCUAAUUGGCAAUGAUGAAAGGAAGAAGAAGGGAUGUUCUGAAUGCUGCUUGGGAAUGAGAUAUUCCCUUUUUAGGGCAGUUGCUAAAAAAUAAGAGAUGCCUUAACAUGGGUAGUUCUAGGUUGGGAAAUCCAUUUAUAUAGAAUUUUUUUUUGUUGUUGUGCUCUUAUAUUUGGUUAUUGUAUGAACUGAGCUCAAGAAACAAUGACAAGCCGGUUGGGAAGGUUGAACUCAUGGAUUUAUAGGCCAGAGGUGUGAAUGUAAAAGGAAAUGAAGUCCAGGGGCAUUUAUGAACAGGAGGAGUAGUGGAAACCAGGAAAAUGUUGCAGUAUGCAGAUUGUCCACAGGGGCCCUGAAUAAAUUCAUGUUACAGAGUGGUUGUUAGAGCAGGGGUAAAACUGGCUAUCAGCCAGCAGAAAUCUGUGAUUGACUGCUGUGACUCACAGCCUACUGUCCUAGGAUCUCUGGCAGGAAAUAGAGAAUUUUAAGACUGGUAUGCAGUGCAGGAAGCCUGUUAUGGAGAAUGGUUGACAUAAUGCAGAAAUCCAGAACUAGGAGAACUUAGAGAUUGGAGAGGAAUUUCAUUUGAAGCUGAGCUCCUUGUCUUCUUCUUGUCCAAGGGCAAUGUUGACCCCUUGGAUUGAGUCUAGGCUGAGCCAAAGUGGAAAGCAAAGUAACUAUAGCUGUCUGCACAGGAGUGACAGGCUUGCCCAGAAAUAUUUGUUAAACAAAUUGAUGAAGGUAUGGCAAGGGAACAGCUGGGUCAUUGAACACAGGUUCUUCAUGCAACAGAUACCAGGUGUCCCUAUUUCCUACCUACUCGAUAUCCUCAGGUCAGGGGUUGGCAGACUUUUUCUUUAAAGCACCAGAGAGUAGAUGUAUUCAUCUUUAUGGGUCAUGUGGUCUGUGUUGCGCCUACUUAAGUUUGCCAUUGUAGCAUGGAAGCAGCCAUAGAGAAGUACAUAAGUGAAUGAGUAGCUAUGCUUCCACUAAAAUGGAAGGAGACUGAAGUUUGUAUUUCAUAUAAUUUCACAUGUCACAAAACACUAAUCUUUUUUAAAAAACUUCUUUCAACCAUUUAAAAAUAUAAAAUCUGUUCUCAGGUCAUGGCUGUAUGAGCAUAGGCAGUGGGCUAAAUUUUGGCCCAUGGGCUCAAGUUUGCCGACCCUGGUUGUAGUCAAAGAAAUCACUAUCAGUUCUGAUGCUGAAAGCUUAGCGUUACUGAAGUAGAUAUUCUCUAGGACAAUGCUGUUGGUGACACUGUCUUGUUUUAUAGGUGACACUGAUGAUAAAAAUCCGUUCAAGAAUUUAGAUGUGACAUCUGCAGCAGGUUCAGAUCUCUCAGCUAUAAGACAAACUGGAUACUUCGUAAAGAUUUUCAUCUGUUAUGCACAGAGCCAAAAUCCGUUACUGAAAUUGUCUGGGUGAGCAGCCUGCUGGGUCCAGUGAUGACGCACUAGUAGACAAAGAAGUUGAAAAAGAAGGAUGGCAUAUUCUUUGGAUGACUGGCAGAGUGUGACGCCAGUAUGGCAUCAAGC